UCCGUAUUGGUCGCGGUUGACCUUCCCCCCACCUCUAACCCAGAAGACGAAUGAUAGAUCUGCCCGAAAGCCAAUCAGAAGUCCUCAGGGGAGGCCGGCCUGUGCCCUAUAAAAUGCAUACGCUGCCCGUGCGCGCAGUUUCUCCCAGGCGAGGCAGGGGUGUGCUCGCGCUCGGGGGCUCCCCUCGACGCCCCUGCCUGACUGGGUCUCACUAUGUGGCCCAGGCCGGCUGGGAACUCUGGGUGAUCCUCCUGCCUCAGCUUCCCCAGCACUGGGACUAGAGCCGAGUGCCACGACUCCAGGGCCAGCCCCCUCCACCACCAGCCACUUCACUUCUCCUUCCCUGUCUGCCUCUUACAGCUGGCCUCAAGUUCAAGGCGAUCCUCCUGCCUCAGCCUCCUGAAUGCUGGGAUCACAGGCGUGCACCACCAGGCCCAGCCACCUCAGCCCUCUAAAGAUGGCUCCUUUGGCCUUAAGGGUUUCCCAGGAGCCUCUGCGUCUCCCCUUCUCUCCUCUGGCCUUCCGUUUGUGCUCCUGUUCCCUCCGCCUCCAGGGAAGACUUUCCAAGCCAUCCCUGCCCUUUCCUCGAAGGCUUGAAAAGGAUCAGAGGGACGGAGACCCAGGCUGAAGGCGUCGCGGUUGUUUGCCUCUCAGAGCCUCAGUGACCCAGGCUGCCCCAGGGGUCUGCGCUGUGAGAAGUAGACAGAGCUGUGACUGUCCACAGGGCACUGUCUGCCCUGCCCACCAGGCCGCUCCUGACUAUGCCCUGCUCCUCUCCUGUGCCCGCUGCCCUGCCUGGGCGAUGGCCGCCACCAACUGCCACAGAACCUUCCAGCAAGGAUGUUCCGCAGCGUUCUCCCUACUGACCUGGAUGGGCAAGGGAGGACCUGGCUGGGGAGGAGCCUUUUAGGGUGGAAGCCCCAGGUCUCCCCUCGCUUUGUGUGUCAACACCAGGGGGCGCCCACGGCAUUCCCAGAGCCACAGCCCAGUGUCUAACUGGACAGGGAGACAGUGUGGCUGCAGGGACCAGGCCCGGCUGUGCUGCGUCCCUGUCCUCCCUCUGCCAACCCACAUGCAGCUCCACAAGCCCGUCCGCUCGGCUCCUGCGAGUCCAGACUUUCCGCAGUGGCCAGGCGUGGUGGCGCACACCUGUAAUCCCAGCACUCAGGAGGCUGAGGCAGGAGGAUCGCUGUUGGUUUGAGGCCAGCCUGGGCUACUGGAAUCAUCCCCAGGGACAAAGGCAGGCGCAGUCCCAUGUCCAUGGCUGUCUGUCACUUCAGGCCCCCUGAACCCCUUUCUCAAAGCCACACCUCGGUCAGACCCCAGCCCCCUGAGGGUGGUCUAGGCUCCCUCCCCAGGGUGGAAGCUGUGGAUUCCCAGAGGCCACUGGCUGGGAUGCGGCCCUGGAGCAGGGCCCAGCUGGCAGAGACUCGGGAAGUGGGCACCGGGGGUAAUAACAAUAACAAUCGUCCUGUUCCUAAUGACACAGGGCCACAGAGGGCUGUGAAAUGCCCUCUAAUGAUGCCUUGUAUUUAUAGAUCCCCCUCUUCAGAGCCAUCACUCAAUUACCGCUCUCAGCUUCCCUGCGAGGGACAAUUAACCCCGUAUUUUAUGGCCACGGGAAACCGAGGCACUGAGACAGGGAGGGAGGUAUGGCUGAGGUCACACAGUGCAUCAGCGACAGCAGAACGUGUAGGGUGGCACCGUCUCCCUCCAGUCCCCCAGCUCCGGGUGCUCAUGGUGCCCCCAACUCUGCCUGGCCAGCACCUCAGCCAGGACCCUACUGUGGCUCAAGGAUGUACCUUUUUUUGAGACAGGGUGUAGCUGUGUACUCCAAAUUGGCCUUGAUCUCAAAGCAAUCCUCUUUCCUCAGCCUCCUGAAUGCUGGGAUGACAGGCACGCGCCACCACACCCAGCUAGGCUCUGCCCUUCUAAUGCCAGCCACCUGUACCCCUGAAAAGCCCCACUAACCUCUCCCAUGCCACAGUAUUCAAGAUGGCAAGGGUAACUCCUAGCCAGAACAGUCACGUGCAGCUAGGCGUGGUGGCACACCUAUAGUCCCAGCACUUAAGAGGCUGAGGCAGGAGGAUCACCGCAAGGUCAAGGUCC